UAAUAUCUUAUUUGCCGAUAGGCAAUUCCCUCUGGGGUUGCAACCCCACCGGAAUUGUCUCACGCCGCGAAUUCAACACUUCCCGUUGCUGUCUAUUUUUUUCCGAUAGGUUUUCUGUGACAGCUCGUUUGCCGCAUGUAUAGGGUUUAUCAUGUAAUCGUGUGAGAGCCUUUCCAUUCCACCUGUGCUUGACGUUAUGCUUGCGGGUUGCGUAUCUAUCCGGAGCCCAUCUUCAAUUGAUUUGUCUCUGCUGGAGUUUCAUUGAAAGCAGGUUCAAGGGCAUCAUAAUCCACAGUUUCUUUUUUGUAGUUCCAUCGAAAUCAGGUUGGGACGAGGCUGCACAAGGUUGUGGAAUCUGGCUUUACACCUGUCAGCUGCAUUUUCUGAAAAGUCUCUAAGGCCUUUUGAAAAAUUCUAUUCUAUCCAUAUCCUGUAAUCACCACAACAGUUUGAAUGCCUUGUACAUGCUUCCGCAUUUUGCAUACAUGUCAACCGAUGCACUUCCAACUAUAACAUCUAAAAAUACUCUUUUAAUUAUGUUUUGAUGGAUUACUGUACCCAGUUCCAAAACUCCAAAUUGAACAGAGGCUAGCAGAAUGGUUGUAAAGGUUGAGGAGUUUGGCUUUACACAAACCCCUUUCUUUUUCUUAAAAGUUUGUAAGGCUUUUUCAAUGAAUGCAUAAAGACAGCAUUCAGUUUCA